UUUCCACUGAGGGACGCCCCCUGCUCUGGACUGCUUAGCCUACUCCAGCUGGCCCCAUCUCACCUCAUCGGCCCCGCCUCCUCCGCAUGCCCACUCCGGGCGCCCACUCCUGAGGAGCUAUCCCAGAGUCCGCGCGGCCUCGCCUUCCCGGCCCGCUCCCCACCCCGCCCCGUCCCACCUCGCCUCGCCCUCCCCGGGCUCUAGCCACUUGGUGCGGCAGGUGUCCUGCAGGCCGGCUUGAGAUUCCCGGGCUCGCCCUCGUGGUGUUCCAGGAACACGGUACUUUGCGCUAGCCUGGCCUGUCCUGAGAGACUGCGGGAGGCGAAGAGAACGCACUGUUGCUGUGUGAAGCGCCGGGGACGGGACAGCUACACCGCCAAACACUUCGCUAGGGAAAGGGCUGGCUGGUUUCGUGCGUAAACAACCGAAAAGGGGAAGUGUCUGGGGGAAAGUGUGUGUGUGUGUGUGUGUGAAUGCGGGUGAGUGAGGGGGAGAGGGACACGUUACUAAAGUCAGGAAAAUAUUUUGAAAAAAAUAGUUUGGUCUAACAAAAAUAAAAUGGAAGAGAGAUUUGUUUAAGUAGUUUGAAGCUGAAAGAUUGACGGGAUCUUGCCAUGACCUGAACAGCAUGCACCUGUUUUGUGGCUGGCUGAAGGAUGAGUCUCGCUCGGGCACCAGGCUGGAGUGCAGUGGCACGGUCUCGGCUUACUACAACCUCCGCCUUCCGGAUUCAAGUGAUUCUGCUGCCUCAGCCUCCCGAGUAGCUGGGAUUACAGUGUUUCAGAAUCACCUGGGAUGAUCUGCAUGAAGAUUCCUGGCCUCCACCAAAGACUUACUGAAUCAGAAAGGAGGCAAGAGGAUGAGGAAUGCUUAAGAAUCUGCAUUAACAAACUUUACAACUGAAUCUUACAACAUACAGAAGCAUGGAAACUACUGCCUCAAGGGAUUAUCUCAACUUGAGUUUAAACAUAGGAAUUGCUGACUACCUUUAAAAUGUAAAAAUAGUAUCUUUAUGGGAGGGAUGUUGUUUGGGGGCAGCUACUAAAUAGUGAAAUCAUUCCUUUAAAAUACCCUCUCAAGUCUGCCCCAGUUAUCCAUUUUACUGGAUAGUCUUGGUAUCCAGAUGAUUUAGGGAAAAAAAUAGUAGUAGCAAACUCUGAAAACACUCAGUAAAGUUCAUUCUUGGUCUUCUCUUCCUAAAUUUGUUUUCAAUUGUUAGAUUUAAACACUAAACAAGACCAAAAGAGAACUUUAUUUUACAUGUCUUUAUUUUACAUUUAGAACCGUUUUAUGAUUUACUUAAAAAAAAAAAUCUUUUACUAUUACUAGAAGUAUUUUUUAACCAAAAUCUUGAUUUAGGAAGACUUAAGACAUUGUGCAUUAUUUUAAAUAUUUUCAUUUCAGUAACUAUUAAAAAUAAAUUCACAAUUAGGGUUUCAAAUGUCCUAAUCAUAUCUAGUUUGUUCUCAUUUAAUAUUUUAUCAAUCCCAUCAUGUGCAUACAGAGGUUAAGGUGAUGUAUAAAUUUUGUAUCUUUCAAACACAUUGAUGCUAAUCAGCUCUUGAUCUAAUUACUAUUUCAUUUAUUCAGAAAUAGCAUUUAGACAUAAAAACCAAUGUCUCACUUUGUAAAAUAACCUUUGCAAAUUUACACACAUCUAAUACAGCGUGUUAUAUAAGUUUUAAGUAAUACAAUGAGUCACUACUAUCAUUCAGUUUUAAAUAUUUUUAGUGUUAACAGGGCUGAGAUAUCAUGUGGUUCAGUCUUCUGAAGGAAGUUAUAUAAUAAAAGCAUAGUGCCUUUGAACAUGAAGACUAUCCUCAAGGCCAGAAGUCCUACAAAGGAACUGAAAGGAGAGAUUCCAGAGAAUUGCUCUCCUCAUUUUUAAUAUGUAAAGUGACUGUUUUAAGUCACUUCACUGAAGACUUAGUGAAGAAAAUAGUGUUAUUAUGCCACUGAAUAAAGCUACUUAAACCAGAGUAAUUUUGGGAUAUUAAUCCUAGGCUACAUAAUUAAUAGGUCAUCAAAAAAAAAACCUGUCAGUUAUUAGGUGUAAGUUAACUUCCUAUGCCAAGUAAGGGGUCACACUUCACUUCCCCCAUUUGUAAAAUGAAAAGGUGGCCCGGCCAGUGCCAUUUAGGAUUCUCUGCUAACUGUAAAAUGUGGACUGAUUUUCUUCUGUUUCUUAUAGUCCAGGUGUAUAUAAACUUCCAGUUCUUUAAGUCAAAAUAAUUUUUAUGCACAUAACCAUGUCAGUGUAUUGCCCUUAGUUUAAAAAUGUACAACUACAUAAAUAAAAACUAUUGUUUCUUCAAUAUUACUUGA